UGACAAGACGCUCUUCUGAUUGGGGGGGUUGGUGCAUGGAGAAUGACGAUUAAUUUAAAAAUCUUAAGAGCCCUUUCGGUGUGCUGGAAUUUUUAAGUGCACCAUUUAAGGUCCUUGGUUUCUGCAUUUUAAGGAGAUU